rnacentral:lncRNA from 10 species
UCCCUCCUACGACAUGUGGAAAUGAUGUUAACUACAAUUCGAGAUUUGAGUGGCGACACAGAGCCAAACCGUAUCAGCACCCAAGGAAGGACAUUCUGUAACUGGACAGAGCAGUCAGAUGAUGCAGUUGAGUGUCAUUUUCCACAGACUGGUGCUACCUUAGUGGUGCUUACAAUGAAGAUACAGAGAUGCAACAUAAAGAAGCAUGUUUUACUCAACAGACAAAAGCAAACUCAGAGAUUAUUUAAUCUAGCCCUUUCCAUGUACAGAGUUUUUGUUGAAAAAUGGCUGCCAGGCCAGGACUGUAUUCUAUCUCUUUUCUACUGGUAAGGUCAUGUGACUAGUUUUCAUCAAUGGAACAUGAGCAAAAGUGAUGAAUGUCACAUCUGGGCUAAAACAGGUAAGAAGCCAGUGUGCCUUGUCUACAAGGUGGAAGAAGGCUGGGUCCCUGAAUCACUGCAUGGAAGGCAAAAGGCCUAAACCUACUUUGGACUCAAUAUGAGUGAGCAACAGCUUCUACUGUAUCACCACUGAGGUUUGGGAGUUCAGCUGUUAUAGAAGCUUGCAUUAUUACUAAUGCAUGCAUCAAAUGAAAAGCACCUCAAAACAUAAAAAUGUAUCCCAAGCCAUAAAUUACAUGGAGACCCUGUCUGCAUGCUCUGUGUGUUAAUUAAGUGAUGAGACCUAUUUCUUAGGUGAGGGUGCUGAUGCUAUAGCUUGAGAAUCUCUACAUAUGUCACUGGCAUAGUGG